UCUGGUUGAUCCUGCCAGUAGUCAUAUGCUUGUCUCAAAGAUUAAGCCAUGCAUGUCUAAGUAUAAAUAGUAUACAGUGAAACUGCGAAUGGCUCAUUAAAACAGUUAUAGUUUAUUUGAUAAUUGAAAAUUACAUGGAUAACCGUGGUAAUUCUAGAGCUAAUACAUGCUUAAAGGCCCGACUUUUUGGAAGGGUUGUAUUUAUUAGACUGAAGCCAAUAUUCUUUGUGUCUAUUGUGGUGAUUCAUAAUAACUGAUCGAAUCUCUUAUUGAGAUAAAUCAUUCAAGUUUCUGCCCUAUCAGCUUUCGAUGGUAGUGUAUUGGACUACCAUGGCAGUAACGGGUAACGAAGAAUUAGGGUUCGAUUUCGGAGAGGGAGCAUGAGAAACGGCUACCACAUCUAAGGAAGGCAGCAGGCGCGUAAAUUACCCAAUCCUGACUCAGGGAGGUAGUGACAAGAAAUAGCAAACUGGGGACCUCACGGUCUCACGGUAUUGCAAUGAGAACAAUUUAAAACACUUAGCGAGGAUCAAGUGGAGGACAAGUCUGGUGCCAGCACCCGCGGUAAUUCCAGCUCCACUAGCGUAUAUUAAAGUUGUUGCAGUUAAAAAGCUCGUAGUUGAACCUCUGUCUGGGGCUAAUUUUGGCUUAGGUCAGGUUAGUUCUAGGCAUCCGCCUACAAGACUUAGAGGGCAUUUACUUGUUCACUAGGAGGAGUAGGCAUUUUACUUUGAAAAAAUUAGAGUGUUUAAGGCAGGCAAUAGCUCGCAUAUAUUAGCAUGGAAUAAUAGAAUAGGACACUUUUCCAUUUCGUUGGUUAUUGGAAUCGUGUAAUGAUUAAUAGGGACAGUUGUGGGCAUUUGUAUUUAAUUGUCAGAGGUGAAAUUCUUGGAUUUAUUAAAGACAAACUAACGCGAAAGCAUUUGCCAAGGAUGUUUUCAUUAAUCAAGAACGAAAGUUAGGGGAUCAAAGACGAUCAGAUACCGUCCUAGUCUUAACUAUAAACUAUUCCGACUCAAUGUUUGACUGGCUUAUAUAACCAGUUGAGCGUUGUAUGAGAAAUCAAAGUCUUUAGGUUCUGGGGGGAGUAUGGUUGCAAAGCUGAAACUUAAAGGAAUUGACGGAAGAGCACAACCAGGAGUGGAUUCUGCGGCUUAAUUUGACUCAACACGGGGAAACUUACCAGGUUAAAACAAUAGUGGGAUUGACAGUUUGAGAGCGCUUUCUUGAUUUGUUGGGUGGUGGUGCAUGGCCGUUCUUAGUUGGUGGAGUGAUUUGUCUGCUUAAUUGCGUUAUCGAACGAGACCUUAACCUGCC
rnacentral:rRNA from 1 species